rnacentral:lncRNA from 1 species
UCGCCCUACGGCGCGCAGCGGCGUGGAUUCCGACCAAAGGCCAUCGGAAAGGGAGGUAACACCGAACACCUUUCAGAGAGAGAGAGAGAGAGAGAGGUAGGGGUAGGGGAAGAAGAGUAGUUCUUUCUUCUCUCUNNNNNNNNNNNNNNNNNNNNAGAGAGAGAGAGAGAGAGAGAGAGGUUGGGGGGGAGAAAGAUAGCUUUUUCUUUCCUCUCUCUCUCCGCCUUUGGUAUCUCUAUGUGCAGUUCUUUUCAGCCCUCUCAGCGGUCACAGAGAGAGAGAGAGAGAGAGAGAGCAGGGAAAGAGGGCAGGGGAAGUGAGGGGGAAAAUGAUGACAGGGUGGGGUUUUGGGGGCAUAUGGUCAGGCAGGGAGUGGACUUGCUCGAGGCGAGCAGGGGGAGCACGUGACCAC